GCUGAGAGAUUUUGUCACCACCAGGCCUGCCCUAAAAGAGCUCCUGAAGGAAGCACUAAACAUGGAAAGGAACAAUCGGUACCAGCCGCUGCAAAAUCAUGCCAAAAUGUAAACACCAUCGAUGCUAGGAAAAAACUGCAUCAACUAACAAGCAAAAUAACCAGCUAACAUCAUAAUGACAGGAGCAAAUUCACACAUAACAAUAUUAACUUUAAACGUAAAUGGACUAAAUGCUCCAAUUAAAAGACACAGACUGGCAAAUUGGAUCAAGAGUCAAGACCCAUCAGUGUGCUGUAUUCAGGAGACCCAUCUCAUGUGCAGAGACACACAUAGGCUCAAAAUAAAAGGAUGGAGGAAGAUCUACCAAGCAAAUGGAAAACAAAAAAAGGCAGGGGUUGCAAUCCUAGUCUCUGAUAAAACAGACUUUAAACCAACAAAGAUCAAAAGAGACAAAGAAGGCCAUUACAUAAUGGUAAAGGGAUCAAUUCAACAAGGAGAGCUAACGAUCCUAAAUAUAUAUGCACCCAAUACAGGAGCACCCAGAUUCAUAAAGCAAGUCCUGAGUGACCUACAAAGAGACUUAGACUCCCACACAUUGAUAAUGGGAGACUUUAACACCCCACUGUCAACAUUAGACAGAUCAAUGAGACAGAAAGUCAACAAGGAUACCCAGGAAAUGAACUCAGCUCUGCACCAAGCAGACCUAAUAGACAUCUACAGAACUCUCCACCCCAAAUCAACAGAAUAUACAUUUUUUUCAGCACCACACCACACCUAUUCCAAAAUUGACCACAUACUUGGAAGUCAAGGUCUCCUU
rnacentral:lncRNA from 1 species